UGUGUAGGCGGCUAUGUAAGCGCGUUGUGAAAUCCCCCGGCUUAACCGAGGAACUGCUUCGCGUACUGCAUAGCUUGAGGCAGGUAUGGGUGCGGGGAACUGUUGGUGGAGCGGUGGAAUGCGUAGAUAUCAACAGGAACGCCGGUGGUGAAGACGCUGCACUGGGCCUGAUCUGACGCUGAGACACGAAAGCGUGGGGAUAAAACGGGAUUAGAUACCCCGGUAUUCCAACGCCCUAAACGAUGUCUACUAGGCUGGGGGAGGUUCUGACGCCGCCCUGGCCGAAGCAAAGUGUUAAGUACGACCGCCGUGGGGAGUACGGUCGCAAGGCUAAA
rnacentral:rRNA from 1 species